AAUAUUGAUGCUGAGUAAAUAUGCUGAUAUUGAAGAGUGGCAGUUUUGCUUGUUCCCUUCACUACUUACUCAUUUUACUUUAAAGUAUGGAGCAAAGGAUGUGUGAACUGUGUUGGAGCUGUGUGCCUGUGUGCAUACUGUGGCAGUGAGCAGUGCAGAGAACUUUAUAAUGUGCAACAGCUCACAACACAGGAGAUAACUGUGAACUGCCUGUUUUCUUUCUAGAUGGCACCAGGCCCUCCCAUACGCUCUAUGAAAAUGAUGAGAAUGACUUCCAAGGCUGUGAGUGGUGGCUGAUGAGAAGCUAAGAAGAGGAACCUCAAAGUUAAACUGAUUGGUAAACUAAUCCAAGCCUUUGGGUUUAUGUGCUUUUUUUUCUAACUAAUAUGUCUGACCCUUAGUUAUUUUGAUGGACCAGUGUUUUUAUGUUGCACUGCACAAGGUAGAGAAUCUCUAGGAUUUGGUACACUUAAAUUGAUGCUUCUUUCAAACAGACUGUUUUUGCUUUUCUGUAGGUGCAUUACGUUCUGGGCAGUGGCUUUUUAAUGAUUUGCUCGUGUCAAGUGACAUUAAUGCUUAGACAUAAUCAUAGUGAUGAAUAUAAACGAUUUAUUAUGAGGGCUGCAUUUCUGAAUGAGUGUUCAACACAGCAUGAGUGUUCUUUUCAGCAAGACUACAGGCAGCACGCUUAAGAAUGAGAGAAACAAGCGUCUGCCUUGAAUUUUCAUACAGAAUUUUUCCCUGGAGGACUGAUAAAACGAAUCAGAGCAAUUUCCUUUGGCAAACUAAAACUGUGGAGUUCGGUAAUGAUUGUGAAAGAUUUAUUUGUGUAUAUAUGCGAUUACGUUAUGUUUCAACACAUACUGAUUUCUUGAAAUGGAUUUUACUUUUUGCUUUGUAGAUGUGGCAUGAAAGGGCAUUUCACAGGAAAUGGAUCAAGAUUUGUCUAAUAUUUUUUUUCUCAAAAGUGAAAGUUUCUUUGUUAUCACAUGUGAUUUGCUUGUCUGAUUUUUCUCUGGAACAGAGAGUCUAGAACUGUGAGUCUGGUCUGGUGGUUGGCAACCAUACCCAUGAUGGUCUUUGAAACUAGAUGAUCUUUGAGGUCCUUUUCAACCCAGGCCAUUCUAUGAUUCACUUACUGACUUCUAGUGGUAGUUGCAGGCAUGAAACACUAACAGGAUCAGACCCUUAGAUAUUUUUUUUUAUAUCUGAAACUGUUAUUUGAACCUUGUAAGUCAGUGUAUGCUAAAUAUACUCAGCAUUUUAAUGAAAGCUGCAGUUGAAUCAUACAAAUUCAUCUUGUUAUUGGCUGGAAAAUACCUUAUUUUAUAAGUCAAAGAUCUAGGAUUCCUUAAAAUUCUCAAGUAAGUUCCAGUGGGUAUAAUGGCCCUAAAUUAUUCAUAUACAGCUCCAGGUUUUUAUUACGUUUUCUGAUUUACCUUUUUCAUAAAGUAGGAGCUCUGUAUUUUAACUGUGCAUAAGUCAAUACCUCAUUGAGAACACGAGUUGGAGAGAGAUGUUAUUUCACAUUAGGUAAUGCUAAGCUAUCACUGUUUCCUUCCCUGCAUGUCUCUCUUUGGGAGCUUUCUUCUGUUUGAGUUAUGUCACGCUGAAUUGGAACCUUAAGUAUGAGUUCUAUAUUCAUUUCCUUGUUGUUGCUUUGAGGCUAAGAAGCAGUCGCAGUAAGAGAGUUAAGAAAGUAAGAGUUAAAGUAAAGUAAGAGUUAGGCUGAGUGUGAGGAAAACUGCUGUUUUUUUUUUUUGUUGUUCCCUGUGCACAACUUAGCAGAAAUUGGAUCUCUUCUGCUUCAGCUUAGUCAGUCAGUGGCUAUUAGAAAAGUUCUUCUAGUUUUUGUUCUGCUGUGGAGAACAGGUGGAAGCAAUUCACUUUCCUGACCAAGGGGUGCAGGCUGGUUCCACCCUUUCCUAACCUCAUUUAAGGGCUGGCUGCCUCCAGGGAAGGAGCUCUGCUUGGAGGUCUGCCCUUUUGUAGUGUUUUGUGUGUCCUGUUCCUCAGAAAGGGGUAAGUAGUUCUGUGGUUAUUUACUAGGUUGAGUCCUCUGUGUUUCUUGGGUAAUUUAAAGCUGUGUCUGCUAAUGUCUAUGUCUGCAGUUGCUGCCCCAUGGAGGCCCCUCUUGGUUGACAAUGGCAGUUGGUAUCUGUGGGGUGAGAGGAGUCUGUGUAGAAGCGGUGGUACUUAGGAGGAAGACACCAUUUGUCUUUAUGCUUUAUAGGUACAAUCAGAUCAGAAAGCAUUGUGCUUUAUGGCACAGUUUCCUUGGCCAAAGGAUGCUUUUGCAGCAGAGGUUUGCUGUCAGGAGGCAUUAAAGCUCUGAAGAAAAGGUUGCUGUGCACUGGGCCUGGAGACAUCAGCUCACAGCAUGUCACUGGUGGUGGAUAUCUGCAAGCUUUGUGUCUGUCAAUGACUGCUCUGAAGGCUUUAUAGUCAGCUGUCCAUGGUUGUUUUGCUUUUUAGGGUGGAGGAACAGACGACAACGCACCGAUUGGAGUGAUGGUGUCCUGCUCAGAAAUGGAUGUGCUGGAUGGCAGAAGAGGAUUCUUGGCCAAGUAUGGAAUCAUCUCUGUUCCUUCACGAAGGUAAGUUUUUAAAAGUUAAACACACAGAGGUGGAUUUGCAGGGUGUCUUGAAGGAGGCGACCCCCACUUGACAUCAUUUUUCUCCUCCUUACUCUUCUCCCCUGUUUCUGCUUUACCUCUUCCUGCUGAUGCAGCAACUCAUUUACUCUUAAGUUCUUCUCCCUUAGUGUUAUCCUUCCCUCUUCUGCUGGGUCAUCUUCCCUCUGUCCUCACUCCUCUUCAGCUGGCUACUAAUUCUUCCUGUAACGGCUCCUAUUGUGCCAUUCUUUCUUCCCUGUAUCCUCACUCUUCCUUCAUCUGCACUCCUCUUCUGCUGUUCUUUCUUCUCUCUAUCCUCUUUCGUCUUUCUUCUGCAUUUCAUUUCCCCUUCUGCUGUUUUUCCCUGCUUCCUCACUCCUUUUUCAUCUGCAUCAGCUCUGCUCUUCUUUCUUCCCUCUCUUCUCACUUUUACAUCUGCACUCUUCUUAGGCUCUUCCUUCUUCCCUGCACUUCCCUCUCUGCCCUUUCCUCUUCUGCUGUUUUUCAACUCUAUCCUCAAUCCACUUCUGCAUCUCCACUCCUCUUCUGAUCUUUUCUUCCCUGCACUCUUCUGCUGUUUUUACUUUUCUGUAUAAUCACUCAUCCUUCUGCAUCUGCACUCUUCCUCUGCUGUUCUUUCUUUCCUCUCCUCACUCCUGCAUCAGCACUAUUCUGCUGUUCUUCCGUGUCCUCCCACCUCUUCUGCUGUUCUACCUUCAUUGCUCUUCCAUAUCCUCACUUUUCUUCUGUUCUUUCUUCCCUGUAUCCUCACUCCUCUUUCUUUUCCAUCUGCUCUCUGCCUCUGCUCUUUUCUUCCAUCUCCUCACUCCGCUUUCUUCUGCAUCUGAAUCCCAUUUCUACUCUUCCUUCUUCCCUGUAUCCUCACUGCUUUCAUCUGCACCUGUUCUCUUCUGCUGUUUUUUUUCCCUGUAUCCUCACUACUCUUUCUUCUACACCUGCUCUCCUCUUCUCCUCUUUCUUCCCUCUCCUCUCUCCUAUUUUUUCUGCCUCUGGACCCCAUUUCUGCUCUUCCUUCUUCCCUAUAUCCUCUGCUGUUUCAUCUGCAUCCUCACUCUUCUCCUGUUAUUUCUUCCCUGUCUCCUCACUCCUUUCUUCUGCAUCUGCACUUCUCAUCUUCUUUCUUCCCUGUAUUCUCUCUGCUCAAUCACCUGCAGCUGUGCUCUUCUCCUGUUUGUUUCUCCUUGUAUCCUCACUCCCCUUUUUUCUGCCUCUGUACUCCCCUUCUGCUGUCCUUUCUUCCCUGUAUCCUCACUCCUUUCAGCAUCUAAACUCCUCUUCUGCUUUUCUUUAUUCUUUUUUUCACUGCUCUGUGUUCAGCAUCCACGCUCCACUCCUUCUGUUGUUUUCUUGUGUCCUCACUCCUCUUCUGCAUCUGCUCUCCUCUUCUGCUGCUUUUUUUCCUGCUUUCUCACUCCUCUGUUGUCUGCAUCAGUUCUACUCUUGUUCUGUUCCUUCUUCCCUGUCUUCACUCUUUAUUCUGCAUCAGCACUCCUGUUAGGCUCUUCCUUCUUCCCUGUAUUCUCCCUGCACUUUCCUCUGCAUUCACUCUUCUAUCAUUGUUUUUUUCCCUAUAUCCGUAUAUCUCUCCUCUUUCUUCUGCAUCUGAACCCCAUUUCUUCUGCUCCUUCUUCCCUGUGUCCUCCCUGAUCUUUCGUCUGCAUCCGCACUCCUCUUCAGCUGUUUUUUCCCCUGUUACUGCACUCCUCUUUUUCCUGCAUCUGCACUCCUUAUCUUUCUUCCCUGUAUUCUCUCUGCUCAUUCACCUGUAGCUGUGCUCCUCUUCUGCUGUUGUUUCCUCCUUGUAACCUCACUUGCCUUUUUUUCUGCAUCUGCACUGCACUUCAGCUGUUAUUUCUCGAUCCUCUUGUCACUUCUUUCUUCUCCAUCUGCACUCCUCUUCUGCUGUUUUUUUUGCCUGCAUCCUCAUUCCUCUUUGUUAUGCAUCAACAUUCCUCUGCUGCUGUACUUUCUUCCGUCUCCACUCCUUUAUUCCCCAUCUGCACUGCUCUUCUGCUGUUUUAUAUUUUAUCUACGCUCAGUCCUCCUUUCUUCUACAUCUGCUCUCCUCUUCUCCUGUUCUUUCUUGUGUAUCUGCUCUUUUCUGCUGUUCGUUCUUCUUUUUAUCUUCAGUUUUUUUCUUCAUCUGCUCUCCUGUUCUUUUUUUCCCUCUCCUUGCUUGUCUUCCUUCCCCAUCUGCUCUACUCUUCUGCUCUUUCUUUCCACUCUCCUGUUUCUUAUGCAUUUGCACUCCUCUUCUGCUGCUUUUUUGUUUCCUCACUGCUCUUUAUUCUGCAGCGGUACUCUUCUGCUCUUUUUUUCUUCCCCGUAUGAUCACUCCUUUCCUUCCUGUUCUAAGAGAUUAUUCAUUUGCAUCAUUGUCUCAAAGCUUGCUGAGGGAUGCAGGUGAACAAGUCCAAGCAAGUCCUGGGCAAAGGUUGUGAAAUCUUUUGUCUGAGGGACACAGAUGGACAAGGCCAGGGGCAAGGAGAGAGAGAGGGAGAGAGAGAUAAGCCAGAGCUUAAUGGCCAGGAAGCAGUCUUUUGUGUGGGCUUAACUUGAGGGAGAUAGGCAUUUUGGGGGGUAGUACACAUGGCUCUUACCCAAGCACCCCGGAAUGCCACGUUGGCAGAAGAAGGAUUAAAAAAAAAAAAAAAACAAAGGGAUGAACAGCCAUGAGAUUAGGUUUCUGACAACAGAUUCCUCAUGCUGAAGAAGAGAGAGGUUUUCUGACAACAGAUUCUUGACGAAGAACGAGAAGAAGGUUUCUGACAUGAGAAGCCUCACGACCUGCCUCUCUCUCCUGGACUUUCUCUGCACUCUACGUGACUGCUGCCUAAGGUCAGCCACUCUGCUGCUGCUCUCCCCCCCCGAGAAGGUGUCGGAACGUCGUGCACCGGGACGACUGCCGGAUCCUGGUGGUGACUAUCCCCACUUUAUGUAGUUCUUGCCUCUUACUGUCUUUUCUAUCGCCCGCCUUCCCUUCCCUAUCGCCCUAAAUCGUCCAUCCUCCCCUUCCCCAUCACCCUUAUUAAGAUUUGUAAUAAAAUGGUUGGACCAGCACCUGGACUGUUGCUUCUUAAUCUCAUGCUGGGUAUACAUAUUUCAGAGAACCUCCUAUAAAUUGGAGCGAGAUAUAUGUAUGAACCAUUUGUCCAGUUCUCUUGCUUAUCUAAAAUCCUCUUUACGGCCACUCUUUCUUUUCUUAUGCUAAGAAAUCAAAGCUGAAAGUAAACUAUAACAUUUUAUCUUUCCGCUGUCUGCUAAGCAGCCUGGUUCAAACGCAGUUCCUGACUUCUGCCAGCAGCACGCGCCGUUUAUCUUCCUCGCACUCAGAAACACACGACUUACAACAGAAAUCUCUCUGGAGUUGCAUUAGAGAUGGUGUGACAAACAGGAGGGACAGCACAAGGGCUGUAAAGGAGAAGCAUCCUGACCUUUGAUCCACCUCUGGUGUAUAAGAGCAAAACAUGAAGGGAAGGCAGGAGAUGUACAAUGUGUCCUUCUCCCAGCACAACCUCACCUGAUGCUUUAAAAUCAGAAAUGGAGAACUAGGAGUUUAUUUAUAUCUCUGAGGAUAUGGCAGUAGUCCUGAGAAGAAAGUCAACAAGUGGGUGAGCCUGAGCUACCCUCUGCAGCAAAUUUUUCCAGUCUCAGUGCAUCUCAGCUGGAUGCAAUGCUCUGUGUGCAAGAUCAUCGUUGGAGUGCUGACGUGCAUGUGUGAAUUUAAGUGCAAUUAUUUACUUGUGUUCACUUGUGGGAGUUGAUUGAAUGGCUUGAGGAAAGCAGAUGAAUAAUGUAAGGAAAUCUUUGCAGAAUCACGCAAAGUUCUAAAUGGUUUUCAGUGCAACAUGAAACAUCCCUUACUCUUCUCUUCUGAAUCCUCAGUUUCAUAUGCUUUCGUUGAAUUAUUUUUCUCCUUUCUCAUCAUCAAGUAAUCAACACUAAAUUGUUUAAAGGUGCUAUUACUGAACUUUCUGCUUUCUUACAUGAAUUAAGAUUUUAUUUUGUCAAGCGGUGCAAGAACUCAGAAAAUAAAAACUCAGAAAAUAAACAUUUCUUUCCACUUUCUUGUGUGAUAUUGCUUUCUGUCAUUUCCAGUGUCCCCACACGUGUCAUUUUCAUCAGGCUGAAAGCACAGUCUGUAACUGAAAAAUGGGCUUUGAAUUUGUGCAAUUGGCAAAAGCUGUGGCCUAAAAAGGCAUCGGAGCCCUUUCAAAAUGUUAUGAUAGAUUUUCCACAGAGAGGAUUUCUUUUUGCAUUGUACUGUAGAACAUAGAAUUAAUAUAAUGGAAAGAGAUGAUAGGCAUGCUCAGAAAGGCAGUUUUAUCUCUAAUAAUGGCUUCACAAAGUAUAGUUUGAAAGUGUAUUGUUUUCCCAUUGAAACUGGGAUAUAAAUGUGUAAUGUUACAUUACACAUUAAUAUAUUGUUUUCUAUGUAUUGUAAAGUAAAUUUUCUCUAUCAGAUGGUUACAAAUGAUGACUGGCAUCCUUUGGUAUCUAUGGAACCAAAGUAGCAUUAAUAAAAACAAUAAAGGCC
ensembl:lncRNA